rnacentral:lncRNA from 1 species
AUGAGAACGGCGCAGCCCCACUUUUUGGCCAUCUGCUCCGCAGGGCCGAAGCGGUGGCGCAUUAGCAGCGCCCUAAAAUCGCCCCUAAAUCUCUGCCGGCAGCGUGGGACGGGGGCUCUGCCCGCCGACGGGCGCAGCAGCGCCGGGACUCCCGGAGCUGCUUCUGAAGCAGGGCCGGGAAAAAAAGAAAAAAAAGAAAAAAAGAAAAAAAAAGGAGCUGUUUUGGGGCCGGCAGGGGCCUCUGGGGUCCCCGCGGGGACAGCCCCCGGCCGGUGGCAGCGCCCCAAAACCGGGCCCCUCUCCCCGGCGUCCCGCAGGGGCAGCGAGCAGCCGCGCAGGGCAGCGCUAUGCGGGCAGCCUCCCCGCUUUUCAUCUCUUCCUUUUUUUUUAUUAAUCACUUUUCUUGGUUUCGACUCGCUAAAUCAUUUCGCAAAACGCCCUUUUGGGGCCGACGGCUGGGAAAGCCCGGCGAGGAGGGGAGCGGAGCGGAGCGGAGAGGGUCGCGCCCCGCCGACCCCCGGCGGCCCCGUUACAGCGGCUUGGGGCCGGCCCGGAGCUCGGGGGGCUGCGGGAGGGCUUUUGGGGGGCUGUGGGGAGGCUGUGGGGUGUUUUGGGGGGCUGCCGGGGGGCUGCCGUCGGGGGAACCCCGGCCCCGCUCUCCGGGCGCCCCCUCGGAGGCUGUGCCCGGGCAGGAGGGAUGGAUGGAGGGAUGGAGGGAGGGGGAGAGGGAGGGAAGGAGGGCGGGAGGGGGCUGAUAAAAUAAACUCGGAUCGCCAAGGUUGGUUUGGCGGCUGGCUCCGGGCCUGCUGGUGCCCCCGCUCCGGAGGGCUUGGGCCGGUGGGGAAGGGAGCAGCGGGCUCCGAGCGAUGCGGAGGGGCCGGGGCCGGCCCGGGGCCGGCAGCCGCUGUGGGGUCGCCACGGGGCCGGGCCCGGCCCGGGGACAGGACCCCAGCACGGCCCGGCGGGAGGCAGAGGCGGCCGUCGGGGCUCGGCCCUCGGGGGCGCGGCGCCCCCCGUGUCCCCGUGUCCCCCCCCCGGGCGGGACGAGGCGAGCCCGGAGCUGGGCUCCCCGGCAAAGCCCCGCUGCCCUCGGAGGGGCUCCGCUCGAGCCUAAGCGGGCGCCUAAAAGUGAAAGCGGGGAGGGAUUAG